CCCAUCACCACAAUCCAAUUCCAGAACACUUCUAUCACCUCUUAACUCUUUACCUUCCAUUCCUCCAUUCCCUCGUCCCUUAGCAAUCACUAUUCCAUUUUCUCCUUGUACAGAUUUGCUUAUUAUGGACUUGACUAUAAAUGGAAUCAUAUAAUAUGUGAAAGCCUGAUGGCUGAAAGGAACACAGGAAUCAUAGCACGUGCUACAGGGCAGGGGGAAGAUGAUGGCUUGAGGACCACCAGAAGCCUGGAAGGUGUGACCAGUGCACUGCCUUGAGAAAACUAUGCCUAGCCACAAACAUUCUUCAGACUUCCCCUCACUCCUAGGCUUGAACACACUUGAAUGGAAAAGAAACUGCCUCUCAUUUCAACAAACUGAUUCCAAGUGCCCAUGGGAGGAAGGACAAGGAAAAGAGUCCGUGUUUCAAGAACAAUAGGAAUCUAGGAAAAGUACACAAGUUCCCAAACCAUCUUGUACAAACUUCGCGACCACCUGUCAACAGGCAGGUAUUUUCCUGACAGCCUGCAAAAUAUCCCGAAACAUUCCUACUUUUAACAGUGUCUCGAGGUAGGCAUACUAAAUGAUGAUGAAAAGCCAAGAACUAAAAUACUGUGGGAUACUGGAGGUUUUCAUUUCUUUCUUUCUUUUUUUUAUUUUUAUUUAUUUAUGAUAGUCACACACAGAUAGAGAGAGAGAGGCAGAGACACAGGCAGAGGGAGAAGCAGGCUCCAUGCACCGGGAGCCCGACAUGGGUUUUGAUCCCGGGUCUCCAGGAUUGCGCCCUGGGCCAAAGGCAGGCGCCAAACCACUGCGCCACCCAGGGAUCCCUCAUUUCUUUCUUAAAUUGCAAUGUUACCUUUCAGUCACCUAAAUUUCUUAGGGUUCUUAUUUUUGUUUCCAGCCCUGGAGAAUCUGUGCUAGUUUGUUUAGUUCCUUUGCAAAGGAAAAGCAUCCUACUAACGUUGGGUAAGUUGGGAAUGGCACCAAAACCAGGAGCAGGCUAUUUUCUCAAUCUUCCUUCCCGCUUUAAGCAGGUUGCAGAGAUCUUAGCUAGGAGUGCUCCCAUGAUGACAUAUCAAGAUUUUACGUGUCAAGAUUUCAAGGAACAGAACAGGCAGGCAUUUAAAGUUAAAAAUGUCAUGCACACAGAACAUGCUGGAGUGGGGCUCCCAAAGCUCCUAGAGAAGAGAGCAAAACAAGCAAUUCCUCCUAAGGCACAGUCGUGAAGUAGCACACAGUCGGAUGUGUCAGUACAGCAUCGCCUAAAGUGAAUCACCUGGCCAAGUCCAGUAUCAGUGGGGCAUGGAAAUACAUUCUUCCUGUAAGGUAGGAAGGGGAGUGAGUAAGUACUGGAAAGAACCCCUAAUCUACCACAAUUAUACUGAUUAUUAAGUGCAGAAGUAACAUGGAAUAUUAGGGGAAUCU
rnacentral:lncRNA from 12 species